rnacentral:rRNA from 1 species
GACGAACGCUGGCGGCGUGCUUAACACAUGCAAGUCGAACGGAAAGGCCCCUUUGGGGGUACUCGAGUGGCGAACGGGUGAGUAACACGUGAGUAACCUGCCCUUGACUUCGGGAUAACUUCAGGAAACUGGGGCUAAUACCGGAUAGGAAUCCUUGCUGCAUGGUGGGGGUUGGAAAGCUUCGGCGGUUUUGGAUGGACUCGCGGCUUAUCAGCUUGUUGGUGGGGUAGUGGCUUACCAAGGCUUUGACGGGUAGCCGGCCUGAGAGGGCGACCGGCCACAGUGGGACUGAGAUACGGCGCAGACUCCUAAGGGAGGCAGCAGUGGGGAAUAUUGCACAACGGGCGGAAGCCUGAUGCAGAAACGCCGCGUGCGGGAUGACGGCCUUCGGGUUGUAAACCGCUUUCAGCAGGGGCGAAGCUUGUGGUGACGGUACCUGCAGAAGAAGCACCGGCUAACUACGUG